rnacentral:rRNA from 1 species
UACGUAGGGGGCAAGCGUUGUCCGGAUUUAUUGGGCGUAAAGAGCGUGUAGGCGGUUAGGUAGGUCCGUUGUGAAAACUCGAGGCUCAACCUCGAGACGCCGAUGGAAACCAUCUAACUAGAGUCCGGAAGAGGAGAGUGGAAUUCCGGGUGUAGCGGUGGAAUGCGUAGAGAUCCGGAAGAACACCGGUGGCGAAGGCGGCCCGCUGGGCUGUUGCUGACGCUGAGGCGCGACAGCGUGGGGAGCAAACAGG